AACACAUGCAAGUGGAGCGACGAACCAGACUUCGGUCUGGGCCAAGCCGCGAACGGGUGAGUAACACGUGGGUAACCUGCCCCAAUGAUCGGGACAACCCGGGGAAACCCGGGCUAAUACCGAAUGUGGUCACGAUCCGUGAGGAACGUGACGAAAGGAAGCUUCGGCCUCCGCAUUGGGAUGGGCCCGCGGCCCAUUAGCUUGUUGGUGGGGUAAUGGCCUACCAAGGCAUCGAUGGGUAGCUGGUCUGAGAGGACGAUCAGCCACACUGGGACUGAGACACGGCCCAGACUCCUACGGGAGGCAGCAGUGGGGAAUCUUGCGCAAUGCGCGAAAGCGUGACGCAGCAACGCCGCGUGGGGGAAGAAGGCUCUCGGGUCGUAAACCCCUUUCAGUUGGGACGAAGCUUCGCCGGUUAAUAGCCGGCUGGAGUGACGGUACCUU
rnacentral:rRNA from 1 species